UACGGAGGAUGCAAGCGUUAUCCGGAUUUAUUGGGCGUAAAGCGUCCGCAGGUGGUUUAGCAAGUCUGCUGUCAAAGCGUGGAGCUUAACUCCAUAAAGGCAGUGGAAACUGCAAGGCUAGAGUGUGGCAGGGGUAGCGGGAAUUCCUGGUGUAGCGGUGAAAUGCGUAGAUAUCAGGAAGAACACCGGCGGCGAAAGCGCGCUACUGGGCCACAACUGACACUGAGGGACGAAAGCCAGGGGAGCGAAAGGG
rnacentral:rRNA from 1 species